GAACCCAGAUGCAGCGACGCCGCGUGGGCGAUGAAGGUCUUCGGAUCGUAAAGCCCUUUUCUGAGGGAAGAGCAAGGACGGUACCUCAGGAAUAAGUCUCGGCUAACUACGUGCCAGCAGCCGCGGUAAAACGUAGGAGGCGAGCGUUAUCCGGAUUUACUGGGCGUAAAGCGCGUGCAGGCGGUGGUGCAAGUUGGGCGUGAAAUCUCCCGGCUCAACUGGGAGGGGUCGUCCAAUACUGCAUSACUAGAGGGCAGGAGAGGGAAGUGGAAUUCCCGGUGUAGCGGUAAUAUGCGCAGAUAUCGGGAGGAACACCAGUGGCGAAGGCGGCUUUCUGGCCUGACCCUGACGCUAAGACGCGAAAGCUAGGGGAGCAAACGGGAUUAGAUACCCCGGUAGUCCUAGCUGUAAACGAUGGAUACUAGGUGUGGGUGGUAUUGACCCCAUCCGUGCCGAAGUAACGCGUUAAGUAUCCCG
rnacentral:rRNA from 1 species